rnacentral:lncRNA from 1 species
GCGCGGCUGAGCCAGGGAGGGCUUUUGCGGGUGCCCCGCAGGUGGAGGAGGCUGAAUCUCAGUAGCUGUAGAGUAUCAUGAAAGGAGGUUGUAGAGAGGUGGGGGUUGGCCUUUUCUCCCAAGUGAAUAAUGGCAGGACCAGAGGAAAUGGUCUGAAGCUGGGGCAGGGGAGGUUUAGAUUAGAUAUUCAGAAGAAUGACUUUGCUGAGAGGGUGGUCAGGCACUGGAACGGCCUGCCCAGGGAGGUGGUGGAGUCACCAUCCCUGGAGGGAAUUAAGAAACGUGUGGACAUGGCUCUUCAGGGCACACUCUAGUGCCCGAGAUUGUUGGGUUGUGUCUGUUGUGUUUUUUUUUUUUUUUGUUUUGUUUUUUGUUUUUUUUUUUUUUUCCUGUGAUUGGACUCGAUGAUCUCAAAGGUCCCUUCCAACCAUGAUCCUGUUAAAAUCUGAUUUCUUUUUUCAGCCCGCACGCUUCCUCCCUGCUACUCCGCUGACCUCCGGCCGGCCUCGGAGAGACUCGUCUCGGCCGUGGGCUGCACCGUGCUCCUGACCGUGCCGCUGCCGCCGAGGGCCAGCCAAGGUGUCUUCUGGGAGUACAAAACUGGCCCGCAGGAAGGGGUCAUCCUCAGCUACGCCUUCGAUAGAGCCCCCAACACCUCUCGCCCCUAUGAGAACCGCACCCGGUUCAACAAGACGGACUUCUCGCUGCAGAUGGUGCUGCAGCGGGGGGACGACCGGCUGUACCGCUUCAGGUCCGAGUCGGAGGCCACGGGCUGGUUCCAGCUGCAUGUUGUCGGUGAGUGAUGGGACGGCGAAGCCUCUGGAAUCGCUGUGGAGGAGGGUGCUCCGGGUCUGGCACCCGGGGAGCCGCGGGUUUCGAUGCUGACGGUCGCUCCGUCUCUCCCAGAACCCCUGUCCGAGCCAGAGAUCGUGGGCAACUCGUCAGUGAAGGCAGGAGCCAACACCAAACUGGUUUGCAACGUCCUGGAAGGGCAGGCAGACUUGUACUGGUGGAAGAAAAACGGGGAGCUGCUGCUGGGAAGCGACCACAUCCAGUUUGUGGACAACAGCACCCUGUGCAUCCUGAAAGCCUCGAUGAACGACAGCGGCUACUACGCCUGCGUGGUCCGCAACCAAGUCAGCCAGAAUGAAACCUCCUUCCUGCUCCACGUCCAGCAUGCUGCCAACGUGCUGUUGCCCGUGAUCCUGGCGUGCGUGGUGGUGGGCUCGCUCGCAGGUGUCUUGGUCUGGUGCAGAAGGGACCACCCGUGUCGCAACAUCUGUAGGUAGAGCUUGACUGGCUGUGCCCUUCCUGCCUUCCCCCGAUGGUGGUGGAUGCUGCC